rnacentral:lncRNA from 1 species
AAUGCAAAGAUUCGUAGAUUUCUCUAAGCGUCUUAAAAGUUUAGCCUACAAGCAACUUGGAAGCCAUCAGAGACUUAAGCAAUGAAAUGUUGUGGCAGCUUUUUGUUUUGUUCUAUUUUUCCCUACAUGUAGAAGAUGCUGUAUGAGGAUUCUUUGCUGCCUUUUCCGCCAUCAGGUAUUUAAGAUCAUUUGGGAGAGCAGGUGCUUGAAGAUUAGCUCCGACAGAAGAGGGAGAUGUGGAUUGGUUGGAGUAGAGUAAAGGGUUUCCUGCAUCACAGCGGAUUUGCUGAGAUCCCACUCUUUUUGAAGAAAACUACUCUGGACCAAUGGAAAUGGUUAAACCAUAGGAUUAUAUUACUUUUCGUUUGUGGGCACAUCCAGGUGGAAAUAAGAACUUGCAUUCUUAUCAGCAGAAGGAAAAUUUUUAGCAUAUAGGAAGAACUAUUGUCAGCAUCUGUGGAAAAAGCCUUAGCUUUACUCCCCCAUGGAAGAAAGCCAACGAAAGCCGCCCCAUGAAUUUAACUUGAUAGAUGUUGAUUCUCUGCCUGAAGAAGAGAACCAAGCUGGGAAAGCUGGACUGGAAAGUAGGAAGAGUUUGCUUCCAUAAGACCAAUGGUCUGUCUGUGACAGACAGUGGCUCAGUUUUGACAAGCAUGUAGAGAGUACACACAUUGGCCGAAUCCUGCAUUGGAGGUCAGAGAUAUAAAGAUUUUAUGACUUGGAAUAACUGAAUCUCACUAUCUCGUCCCAACAUGACCCCAAAGAGAAUGACUUGACAGGGGUUAAAUGUAUGUUUGGGCUCUAAAGCUGUACAGAUCUAGAUUCAGAACAAGGUUUGCCACAGAAUCACUGUGUGACUUUGGACAGGGGAAAAGUAAAUCUAAGUAGAUGUUCUCAUGUUUCCCCACUUCACCCUAGUACACUACCUCAGUGUGCUGUGCUGGGGGAGAAUCUGCCUGGACUGCGUACUGGAGGAGUUUAAGGUCUUGGAGCCUACGUCAGGUGGAACAUGCCCAACUUACUGGUCACCAUUAUAAUCUCACCAGGAUACCAUAUGGUAUUACCUAUCCAAAAAAAAAGAAAAGAAUUAAAGAAUAAAGGCAAUGCAAAACGUUGGAGAGCCAAUCUGAAAUCAAUUGACAGGCAUGAACAUUUGUUAAUAACAUGAGUAUAAGCAGAUGGAGAAGGAAUUGUACUGAACAUUCUCCAAAUAUAGAAACAAUCUACUGGAGAAAGUCAGACAAACAUGGUGUGUCCAAAAAUCUGUUUCCGUCUUAAAGCUUGAGUCUUUAUGGAGUAAGAAUUUUCAAAUGACCCCUUGCUUAUUUUGCAAAACUAAGGUAAAGGCGUUAAUGUUACAGUGUAUGAAUUAAACUUCAAUUUUAAAAUAG